rnacentral:rRNA from 1 species
GACGAACGCUGGCGGCGUGCCUAACACAUGCAAGUCGAGCGGGGAGGAGGAAGCUUGCUUCCGAAUCCUAGCGGCGGACGGGUGAGUAACGCGUGAGCAACCUGCCUUGAACUGGGGGAUAACGCAUCGAAAGAUGUGCUAAUACCGCGUAAGACCACAGUACCGCAUGGUACAGAGGUCAAAGGAGCAAUCCGGUUUAAGAUGGGCUCGCGUCCGAUUAGCUAGUUGGUGAGGUAAACGGCUCACCAAGUCGACGAUCAGUAGCCGAACUGAGAGGUUGAUCGGCCGCAUUGGGACUGAGACACGGCCCAGACUCCUACGGGAGGCAGCAGUGGGGAAUAUUGCGCAAUGGGGGAAACCCUGACGCAGCAACGCGCGUGCAGGAAGAAAGGGUCUUCGGAUUGUAAACUGUUGUCGCAAGGGAAGAAGACAGUGACGGUACCUUGGUGAGAAAGUCACGGCUAACUACGUGCCAGCAGCCGC